UACAGAGGGUGCAAGCGUUAUUCGGAAUUAUUGGGCGUAAAGCGCACGUAGGCGGUUUGAUAAGUCUGAUGUGAAAUCCCCGGGCUCAAUUCGGGAAGUGCAUUGGAUACUGUCGGGCUAGAGUAUGGGAGAGGUGAGCGGAAUUCCAGGUGUAGAGGUGAAAUUCGUAGAUAUCUGGAGGAACAACAGAGGCGAAGGCGGCUCACUGGACCAUUACUGACACUGAGAUGCGAAAGCGUGGGGAGCAAACAGG
rnacentral:rRNA from 1 species